rnacentral:rRNA from 1 species
AGCAGCCGCGGUAAUUCCAGCUCCAAUAGCGUAUAUUAAAGUUGUUGCAGUUAAAAAGCUCGUAGUUGAAUUUCGGGGUUAGUAGGUUGGUCAUGCCUCUGGUAUGUACUGGUCUCACUGAUUCCUCCUUCCUGAUGAGCCGUAAUGCCAUUAAUUUGGUGUUGCGGGGAAUUUGGACUGUUACUUUGAAAAAUUAGAGUGUUUAAAGCAAGCUAACGCUUGAAUACAUUAGCAUGGAAUAAUGAAAUAGGACGUUCGAUCCUAUUUUGUUGGUUUCUAGGAUUGACGUAAUGAUUAAUAGGGGUAGUUGGGGGCAUUAGUAUUCAAUUGUCAGAGGUGAAAUUCUUGGAUUUAUUGAAGACUAACUACUGCGAAAGCAUUUGCCAAGGAUGUUUUCAUUAAUCAAGAACGAAAGUUAGGGGAUCGAAGACGAUCAGAUACCGUCGUAGUCUUAACCAUAAACUAUGACCGACUAGGGAUCGGAUGAUGUUAAUUUUUAAUGUACUCAUUCGGCGCCUUA